AACGAACGCUGGCGGCAGGCUUAACACAUGCAAGUCGAACGCAUCCUUCGGGGUGAGUGGCAGACGGGUGAGUAACGCGUGGGAACGUGCCCUUCAGUUCGGGAUAACCCAGGGAAACUUGGGCUAAUACCGGAUACGUGCGAGAGCAGAAAGAUUUAUCGCUGAAGGAUCGGCCCGCGUCUGAUUAGCUAGUUGGUGGGGUAAUGGCCCACCAAGGCGACGAUCAGUGGCUGGUCUGAGAGGAUGAUCAGCCACAUUGGGACUGAGACACGGCCCAAACUCCUACGGGAGGCAGCAGUGGGGAAUAUUGGACAAUGGGCGCAAGCCUGAUCCAGCCAUGCCGCGUGAGUGAUGAAGGCCUUAGGGUUGUAAAGCUCUUUCGUCCGGGACGAUAAUGACGGUACCGGAAGAAGAAGCCACGGCUAACUACGUGCCAGCCGCCGCAGUAA
rnacentral:rRNA from 1 species